rfam:Alphaproteobacteria bacterium 41-28 SCNpilot_cont_1000_p_scaffold_180, whole genome shotgun sequence.
AGAUAAGUCAGGAUGCCUAUACUCCGCACAGGAUAUUUAGGAAUCUUGAGACAAGUGUAUUAAGGAGAAUCGAGUGGCUCGUAUAGCUGGCGUUAACAUACCAACG